rnacentral:rRNA from 1 species
UACGUAGGGUGCAAGCGUUGUCCGGAAUUAUUGGGCGUAAAGAGCUCGUAGGCGGUCUGUUGCGUCGGCUGUGAAAACCCGAGGCUCAACCUCGGGCCUGCAGCCGAUACGGGCAGACUAGAGUUCGGCAGGGGAGACUGGAAUUCCUGGUGUAGCGGUGAAAUGCGCAGAUAUCAGGAGGAACACCGGUGGCGAAGGCGGGUCUCUGGGCAACAACUGACGCUGAGGUGCGAAAGCGUGGGGAGCAAACAGG